UGGUACAAACCGGUUUAUAGUAAUUAUUACGUUGGAUAAAUUACGUCUUUCAAAUAUCAGCAAACAUGAAGAAAUCUAUGCUAGCAGUAAUCGUCUUAGUGGGUUAACUUUCACGUCACAAAGCAAUCUAUUUACAAUUUGUCUUUGUCAUUGGAUGGUAUGGCCGUGGCGACCUGUUCAUCACCUAGGAACAGCCAGUCAAAAUCGAUCGUCAUGCAUCGUCAUACAAAAUCGUUUGAGUGUUUGACAGUAUGGAUUUCUUCUCAAACAAAGGAACACAUAUGACGCAUACACGGAGUUACUAACCUGUCUCUCAAAUGCCGGAUGCAGCGACGAACCUUUGAUUAACAUUGCCAACGCAUACAUAAUCAACUUUUGUAACAGCGGAGUCAUUGCAACAGUUUUGACCAAGUUUCUCACCCUGUUCGUAUGAACGACUUUCUGUGUUUCGCAGCAUGAGCCCCAGAAGACUGAU